rnacentral:pre_miRNA from 1 species
CCUGGUUUCCAUGCCCAACGUUUAACCGUCCGUCUUAUUUAAAAAAAUUAUGAAAAAAAAUUAAAAAGACAAGUCAUGCAUAAAAUAUUAAUCAUGUUUUAUCAUCUAACAACAAUGAAAAUACGAAUUAUAAAAAAAAUUUCAUAUAAGACAUACAGUCAAAGUUGGACAUGGAAACCCAAGGUUUACCCUUUU